rnacentral:rRNA from 1 species
GAGGGGUGCAAGCGUUGUUCGGAAUUACUGGGCGUAAAGGGAGCGUAGGCGGAGAUUCAAGCGGAUUGUACAAUCCCGGGGCCCAACCCCGGCUCUGCAGUCCGAACUGGAUCUCUUGGAUAGUUCAGGGGCAGGCGGAAUUCCUGGUGUAGCGGUGGAAUGCGUAGAGAUCAGGAAGAACACCGAUGGCGAAGGCAGCCUGCUGGGGACUUAUCGACGCUGAGGCUCGAAAGUGCGGGUAGCAAACAGGAUUAGAUACCCUGGUAGUCCGCACCGUAAACAAUGCAUACUGGGUGUCCGGGGGUUCCCCCGGGUACCGUAGCCAACGCGUUAAGUAUGCCGCCUGGGGAGUACGUACGCAAGUAUG